AGGGAGCGUGAGCUUUCCAGUGGAACACGUGACAGCGAGGAUCUGCUCCAGCGUGUUCACUCCUUCAAUCCUUCCCCCCGUUUCUCCAAGAAGUACGUGAAGCUCUUCAAGUCCUCCUGGCAGGAGUCUCAACUGGGGCAUCUCUGAACUGGACUGGACAAUCCCAAUGACUCAAGUUGUUUAGGGAACAGUAAUUACGCAUUUUGAAGUAUCUGAAAUUAUGUGAAACUGUACUGCAGCCUGUGAGAAUGGUGCUUUCCUAGCAUGACA